rnacentral:rRNA from 1 species
UACGUAGGGUGCAAGCGUUACUCGGAAUUACUGGGCGUAAAGGGUGCGUAGGUGGUUUUUUAAGUCCGUUGUGAAAUCCCUGGGCUCAACCUGGGAAUGGCAGUGGAUACUGGAAAGCUAGAGUGCGGUAGAGGGUAGUGGAAUUCCCGGUGUAGCAGUGAAAUGCGUAGAGAUCGGGAGGAACACCAGUGGCGAAGGCGGCUACCUGGACCAGCACUGACACUGAGGCACGAAAGCGUGGGGAGCAAACAGG